rnacentral:siRNA from 1 species
CGAAAUGCGAUACUUGGU